ACACACCAUCGCAAAAAUGCGUAGAAAAUUGCACCAAUACAUGCGCAAAAGCAGCAAGAUUUCCUUCCGGUUAAGAUCCGAAUAGACAUUAUUCGGAGAAAUUGAGUGGCGGGUGAGCGAAUUUUCCGAGCGGGGCGAGCUUGUGGGUUGCAAUUACGCGGAGCGGGAAGGCCGGCAAGGGCAGAAGGACGAAGCGAACGCGAGCGUGUUCAAGACGGACGGUAGCGCGAAAGGAAGAGGAAUAGAAAAAAGAGACGGAGCAACCUCGAGCAAAAUUCGGUCCCGAUCGCGGCCAGUCGGAAAUUUUUUAAGUCCCUGGACGCACGCUCUCCGCUGGCGGCAAAGUGCAAGUGCAGAAAAGUGUUAGAAAAGUGAUUACUGUAGGCGUUGACUGCAAUGCGCGCGCAAGCACCCAACAUCAGGCCGAGCAGGAACGCUCUUGAUCGCAGCCCGGAUCACGCCACCACCACGACGACAUCAAGCAGCGAAGAGUACGACGCCACCACCACCAACAGCAACGCAGAGAAAUGACGUCACAAAAUGAUGACGUCAUACAUGUGGGACGUCAGCAAGAAGGGGCAAAUCGAGAAAUAGAAAAACAAACGCCACCGCCAUUGCGCUAUGGCUGAUCGACCAA